CUAAAAAACAUCAGUAUACGCAGGGAGUACAUUAAACAGAACCCUAUGGCUACUGAGAAAUUAUUAUCACUGUUGCCUGAAUAUGUAGUUCCAUACAUGAUUCACCUGCUAGCCCAUGAUCCAGAUUUCACAAGAUCACAAGAUGUUGAUCAGCUUCGUGAUAUCAAAGAGUGCCUAUGGUUCAUGCUUGAAGUUUUAAUGGCAAAGAAUGAAAACAAUAGUCAUGCCUUUAUGAAGAAAAUGGCAGAGAACAUCAAGCUCACCCGAGAUGCCCAGUCUCCUGAUGAAUCCAAAACAAAUGAAAAACUUUAUACAGUUUGUGAUGUGGCUCUGUGUGUUAUAAACAGUAAAAGCGCCAUGUGCAAUGCAGACUCUCCAAAGGAACCAGUCCUCCCAAUGAAGUUUUUUACACAACCAGAAAAGGACUUCUGUAAUGACAAGAUUUAUAUUUCAGAAGAGACAAGAGUGCUUCUGUUAACAGGAAAGCCAAAGCCUGCUGGAGUAUUGGGUGCAGUAAACAAGCCUUUAUCAGCAAUGGGAAGAAAACCUUAUGUUAGAAGCACUGGCACGCAGACUGGAAGCAACAUGAAUGUAAAUUCAGAAUUGAACCCUUCAACCGGAAAUCAAUCAAGGGAACAGAGUUCAGAGGCAGCAGAAACUGGAGGUAGUGAAAAUGAAGAGAACCCUGUGAGAAUUAUUUCUGUCACACCUGGAAAGAAUAUUGACCCGGUAAAGAGCAAGGAAAUUAAUUCUGAUCAGGCUGCCCAGGGCAACAUCAGCAGUGACCGAGGAAAGAAAAGAACAGUAACUGCAGCUGGGGUGGAAAAUAUCCAACAAAAGACAGAUGAGAAAGUGGAUGAAUCAGGACUGCCUGCCCCUUCCAAACCGCGAAGAGGACGCUGACCCAAGUCGGAAUCUCAGGGCAACCCAACCAAAAACGAUGAUGUAAAUAAGCCUAAUAGCAAGGGGAGGAAGCGAGCUGCAGGCAGCCAGGAGAGCCCUGGGGGCUUGGAAGCAGGAAAUGCCAAA